ensembl:snoRNA LOC120098389 small nucleolar RNA SNORA17
CCUGCCCCUAGAAGCGAUGCAAGCUUGGCGGCUGUGUAACAUGUGCAUCAGUAAGUGGCAGAGAAGAGUGACACUGUGCUCUGUCUAUGCUCAGUGUUCUGAUUUAUGAACAUCUGGAUGAUUAGUAGCCUACUGUU